rnacentral:rRNA from 1 species
UGGGGCCUACGGGGCGCAGCAGUGGGGAAUAUUGCACAAUGGGGGAAACCCUGAUGCAGCGACGCCGCGUGAGUGAAGAAGUAUUUCGGUAUGUAAAGCUCUAUCAGCAGGGAAGAAAUAGCGACCUUUGGGUCGCCAGACGGUACCUGACUAAGAAGCCCCGGCUAACUACGUGCCAGCAGCCGCGGUAAUACGUAGGGGGCAAGCGGUAUCCGGAUUUACUGGGUGUAAAGGGAGCGUAGACGGCAGCACAAGUCUGAAGUGAAAUGCCGGGGCUUAACCCCGGACCUGCUUUGGAAACUGUG